rnacentral:tRNA from 1 species
GGAGUGGUUGAUCGGGGGUCCAGUGGGUUCGCCUCACGGUCGGGCCCCUUCGGGGGUCUGCGCGGGUUUGAAUCCUGCUGUCUCCGC